rnacentral:tRNA from 1 species
AUUUGUGUAGUUUAAAAUAAAACAUUAUUUUUUCAAAAUAAUAACAACAUAAAUAUGUUCACUAAUA